rnacentral:rRNA from 1 species
ACUGACGCAUGUGGUGGAUGCCUUGACUCGAACAAGCGAUGAAGGACGUAGUAGACUGCGAAAAGCCUCGGGGAGCUGUCAAACAAGCUUUGAUCCGUGGAUGUCCGAAUGGAGCAAUCCAUCCCAAUGUCAUGUUGGGAUACCAUGAUCUGAAUACAUAGGAUCAUGGGGCGCACCCUGGGAAUUGAAACAUCUUAGUACCAGGAGGAAAAUAAAUCAUAUGAGAUUCCGAAAGUAGUGGCGAGCGAAAUCGGAAGAGCCUAAACCAACGAGCUUGCUCGUUUGGGGUUGCGGGGCGAUCGUACUCGUUUUAUCGGGGUCCCGCAUCAUUUCUUAGCGGAAAUUUCUGGAAAGCUGUGCCAUAGAAGGUAAUAGCCCUGUACGCGAAAAGAAGUGAUGCCGGAUGCGAUCGUACCCAAGUAGGGCGGGGCCGGAGAAACCCCGUUUGAAUCAGGGAGCACUAACUUCCAAGGCUAAAUAUUGUUCGAGAUCGAUAGCGAACUAGUACCGUGAGGGAAAGGUGAAAAGUAUCCCGAGAGGGAGGUGAAAUAGACCUGAAACCACAUGCUAACAAAGAGUGGGAGCUCCUGUAUUUAUACAUGGGGUGACCGCGUGCUUUUUGCAGCACGAUCCAACGACUUUGUUCUACGCGGCAUGUCUAAGGAGGUGAAAACUCCGGAGACGCAGUGAAAGCGAGCCUGAUAAGGGCGUUAAGUCGCGUGGACAAGACCCGAAGCCGGACGAGCUACACUUGAGCAGGGUGAAGCGCGAGUAAAAUCGCGUGGAGGCCCGAACCCACUCGCUGUGCAACACGAGGGGAUGACUUGAGUGUAGGGGAGAAAUUCCAAUCGAGUUCGGCAAUAGCUGGUUCUCUCCGAAAUAGCUUGAGGGCUAGCGUCCCGACACUCUGCCUGGGGGGUAGAGCUACUGGAUGAGAAAUCGCGGGCAACCGUAGGUUUUUCAACCAAACUCCGAAUACCCAGGUAUGUUAUCGGGGCAGUCAGAACUCCGGGGCUAAGCUCGGAGCUCAAAAGGGAAACAGCCCAGACCGCAAGCUAAGGUCCCAAAAUCCAUGUUCAGUGGGAAAGGAAGUGAAGUUUCCGAGACACCUAGGAGGUUGGCUUAGAAGCAGCCAUCCUUGAAAGAGUGCGUAAUAGCUCACUAGUUUAGAGACUUCGCGCCGACAAUGUAACGGGGCUUAAACAUGGUACCGAAGCUGCGGAUCGUAUCGCAAGAUACGAUGGUAGGAGAGCGUUCCGUAUGCGCUGAAGCGACAGGGGUGACCCAUCGUGGAGCGUACGGAAGUGCGAAUGUUGGAAUGAGUAACCGCAAUGAGAGUGAGAUCCUCUCACGCCGAAAGUCAAAGGUUUCCUGGGCCAUGGUGAUCAUCCCAGGGUUAGUCGGUCCUAAGGCGAGGCCGAAAGGCGUAGUCGAUGGCCAUCCGGUUAAUAUUCCGGAACUGCUCGUGUAUUCGAUGGAGUGACGCAUUUCUGUACCCUUCGCACCUUAUUGGAUUGGUGUGGGGGUUUUGAGGAGGUCUGUUAGGCAAAUCCGGCAGGCAAUACUCCGAGAAAUUUCCCGAUUUUCGUGGCAACACGGGAAAAGGAAGGGGAGCGAGGUGCCAAGAAAAGCUUCUCAGGUUCGUACACGACCAACCGUACCGCAAACCGACACAGGUGGACUGGGCGAGUAGCCUAAGGCGAACGGGAGAGUCUUCGUUAAGGAACUCGGCAAAAAAGCUAGGCGUAAGUUUGCGAGAUGCCUUCCCGGUCGCAAGGCCGGGCGCAGCGAAAGUUUCCCAAGCGACUGUUUACCAAAAACACAGCUCUCUGCUAACCCGUAAGGGGAUGUAUAGGGGGUGACGCCUGACCAGUGCUGGAACGUUAACGGGAGCGGUUCACGCCAAUCCCCGAAGCGCCAGUGAACGUCGGCGAUAACUAUAAUCGUCCUAAGGUUCUGGGACUUCCUUGAGUGGAGGUUCCGGAAGGACUGGGACGAUUAUGGCGAAAGUUUCGGUAAACAAUAAACAAAAAGCUGCUUCAUUCCGUAGUAAUGCGGAAUUGGUCCUAAAAAAAUACAUGGCUAUAUGCUGGGAAGCUCUGUUAAUCGUGGAGUGAUCAGCAGGGAAGAUUCCAUUUCGAUGGAAAACCCUCAGAUACCAUACGCCGUGCUCCAUCGAUUUUCGAUGGAAGAAGAUAUGGUACAUCGCCGAAAGGAGCGAUCAGCGAAAUUCCUUGUCUGGUAAGUUCAGACCCGCAUGAAAGGCGUAACGAUUUGGGAACUGUCUCAACGAAGAUCCCGGUGAAAUUGCAAUGACGGUAAAGAUGCCGUCGCCCUGCAGCAAGACGAAAAGACCCCAUGGAGCUUUACUAUAGCUUGGUAUUGAUGUAAGAUUUUUGCUGCCGAGAAUAGGUGGGAGACUAUGAAGCCAUGCCUUCGGGCGUGGUGGAGUCGACAAGUGAAAUACCACUCUGCAAAGAUUUUACCUCUCACCUGCCGCCGUAUAUCCGGCGGGGGGACAGUGCCUGGUGGGUAGUUUGACUGGGGCGGUCGCCUCCUAAAAUGCAACGGAGGCGUUUACAAAGGUCAGCUAGAUCCGGAUGGAAAUCGGGUCGAUAGCGCAAACGCACAAGCUGGCUUUACUGAAAGACCGAUCAGUCGAUCAGUUCCGAAAGGAGAAGUUAGUGAACCGACCAUUACUCGUAGGAGUGUGGAAGAUCAUCAGAUAAAAGUUACCCUGGGGAUAACAGGCUGAUCUUGCCCAAGAGUCCAUAUCGACGGCAAGGUUUGGCACCUCGAUGUCGGCUCAUCACAUCCUGGGGCUGGAGAAGGUCCCAAGGGUUUGGCUGUUCGCCAAUUAAAGUGGUACGUGAGCUGGGUUCAAACCGUCGUGAGACAGGUUGGUUUCCUAUCUGCUGUGGGCGCCGCUGCUUGAGAGAUCUCUUUCCUAGUACGAGAGGACCGGAAAGAACGAACCUCUGGUGUAUCUGCUGUUCCGCCAGGAGCACUGCAGAGUAGCUAUGUUCGGGUAGGAUAACCGCUGAAAGCAUCUAAGCGGGAAGCCAGGCUCAAGAUAAGGCAGCUGUUCCGAUUUAUCGGAACGAGAUAUCCUCGGAGAUGACGAGGUUGAUAGGCUUCAGAUGGAAGCCCUGAGAGGGGUUGAGUCGAGAAGUACUAAUAUUAUCUAUUACCUUCUU